CUUAAAUGACUGAGUAGAAAAACAAACAGCAGGUGAAUCUCGUGAGCCACAAGGGCCUGGGUGACCUCUGAGACAGGAGAGCCGCCGUGCUCCUCACGCGCAGUUCCUGGGGGGGAGCAGGGGGGUUCCAGGAGAAAACACAAUCCUUGUUUACUCGUUUGCAGGAGGCUUAUUGACCCUGCAAUGUCAUCGAACGGCUUCCUCGGAGGUCUCCGGCUCAAGGCGAGGCGCCAUUCCCUCAAACGGUACACAAUGGCUGUGCAAAUAGGCAGAAAGCCACAGCCCCUGUUCCCCCCUGAAGAAAACAUCGCCUUAAAUGCGGGGGGCCAUGCGGACAGGAGCGAAGUGCAAUGAUAUCUGAAGGUCCUCCUCUUGCCAGCUCACUGUCUCCCAUCUGGUUGAAUUUAUCUACAAUCUGAAACGAGCAAGAUAUCAAAUGACUCAUUUCACAGUUGGUGCAGAUCGUAUUCAUUUGUCAGGGGGAGACACCUGAGAGCAUAUGGCGACAAACCAGAAGUGACGGAACUCCACAGUAAAGUCUGAAUGUGACUAUAUUAAAAACCCACAAUGUAAGAUGGCAAUCUCUUAUGAGCAGCAUUACAAGAUUGGAUUACAUGGAGACAUUCUUAAAUCAUGUUGAAGGAGUGGGAGGAGCCAGGGGAGAGAGCCCAGUCAGCAGCAGGAGGAAGACCAUUUUAAUACCAGUUUAGGGGAAGACAACACCUGCACAGAGUUUUAGAGUUCUGUUCAGAAUGCUAAUCGCCUCAAAGAUGACAUAAAUUAAAGUUUGUUUCGCUAGGGAGUCUGUAAACAGAUACUAUUAAAAUUGUUUUAAUCUGAAUAAUAUUUAAAUUAUAAUCUGGUUGGUCAAGAUGACAUCAGUCGAUACUCCAGUGGUUGGUCACGUGUCAAGCUGCUAGGCAAUUACGCAUACUACUUUAUUUCAUGUUGUAUAUGUAAGACAUCUCAUUAGGUGAAAAAAUAAAUGUGUGUCCUCUUCGGCAGCCAGCUGAAGCAUUAUCUCUUUUACCUUUCUCCUCCUGUCAGGCACAAAGCUGGAGUGCAGAGUUAAACAUCAUAAAUCCUGUAUUCAAGUUGAAGCAUCCAGUAUUGCAUGUACCUCAAAAAAUUGCUUGUAUGAGCAAUGGUGGAGGGUUAAUGCGUGCCGUUCACACAGACAUGCAUACCACGAGGUGCUUAAUACAAAUACCUGUGAGUGGUGCAGUGAUUAAUCAGAAUGAAUAUGAGGAGGGGGUGGGGGUUGGAUAGAUGCAAGUUGGCAUUUCAGUCAUAGGGAAAGUCAUGUCCCUACAAUGUUAUUUAUGUAAAAAUGAGGGUACAAAAUGAAAAGGACACAAGAAUUAUUACCUCUGUUUCACUUAGCAGUUUGCCCCCAUAAGACAUGAUGAAAUAAAGUGCUGUCUGUGCAGAUUGAUUUUCUUUGUUUUUUUGUUUCCUUUUAGUACUGAUGGUAAAUUAAAUUAAAAAGGCCAAAAUUUCCGUCUGCAAUUUUAUAAAUAGUCAGUGAAUUCCUCGGACCAUAAAAUGUUGAUGAUGAGGAUGCAGAGAGGCAGAUGGCACCUUCCAGGUUCAAAAAAAGACAGAGACAUUUUCUGGGUGAAAACAGAGGAAGAAACAUUUGUUUUUAUUUAUUGUUUAUUUUACCCCAUUGAGAUUGACAUCUCAAAGGAGAGCCUGACAUAUACACACAGUUACAAUGGCAACAUCACAAUGACAAGACACACAGGCAGGUGAGAAUGAAUGAAUGGGUAUGCCUCUGCAUUUCCUCUUGUUUUGUUGGUUCAGAACUGUCUCUGCCACCUCUCUGACCUGUGAGUGUCAAUUAUUCCCUUGGGGCAAUCUCAAAUGGCCACCACCUAAAGUCCAGCAUUUUUAUAGCCCUGGCCUCAGACAACCUCUCUCUCUCUCAACAGCAUCUGAGAGUUAUAGUUUGUCACAGUUAUCGUCUGUGAGAUGAGCUUCCCUGCAGUCUGAUUGGUUCAACUUGGUUUUAGUCAGCAUUACGUGAAAUGGUUGAGUUGAGUGGGCUCCAAUUUUCACUUCCAGUUGGAGCCUGAUUUAUGCCAGAUCAUAGUUUGUCAGAGGAUGUACACCAUUCUCAGAAGGUGGGUGAUCUUAUCCUAAUCAGCCCAUACAUAUCCUAUGGUUAUGAGCCUGACAAGAGAGGCUAGUACUUUUAUAACAGCAAGUUAAUUUCACAUUUAUGUGCACUAUGCUUUUUCCAUUUAGAAGGUCACGCAAAAUUAGGGCUCAACCUUCUAAAGUUGCAUACAUUCUUGCUAUUGGAAACACAGAUUCUAUUAAAUUGUACCUGACAUUAUUAAAUAAACACACACAGAGUGGAAGGAAAAUUUCCCCUGUGAAACGUUUAUGUAUUCUUUAUUUUCUGUCAUGCUCUUGCAUUAUAUAAAACACUGUAUCCAUAGCUCAUAUUUAAUUGUAUUCUAUAUCUCAGGCAUAGGAUCAAACAUUGUAAAAUAUCCAAGGCAAUAUACUGAUUCUAUUUAGACCAGUGGUUCUCAACUCUUUGGACAAUAUUGUUGGCAGGUCCUGGACAGAUUGUGUCAUGCAGGCCACAAUGAAAAGAAAAGCCGUACACACAAAUUUUACCCCCCAUAGAAAUUACAUAGACCGUAAAAAUCUGCCUACAAACAGAUAAAAUGAUUAAUUUCACCAAGUAAAUACAAAGUGCAAUGCCUGCAUAUACACAAAUUGUGCUUUUAUUUUCCAAUCACAUGUACGCAUUAUGAAUCUGAUUUAUUAAGGUGUUCAGGAUGUGUUAACCCUUUAAGCACAUGCAAAACCAACAAGACAAUCAAACAUGGGACACAUUAUUUGUUUUCGUUGGUCGUUGUUUGUGUUAUAAGGUUUAGGUGUGCUAAAAGGUUUUGCACAUGCUAAAGGUCAUAGUAAACCAGGCCCUAUGUCUUUUAAGUUUGAAGAUAACCUUUCUGUAAAAUGAUCUGGGUUGAUCCAGCACAUUGUUUUGGUAGUGUAUGGUCUCAUUUCGAGAAGAAUGCAGAUACAAAUAUUAAUCUCACUUUAUUAGCUAAUGCUUUUGACUAGUUUGCAACAUUAAACAAACUGAAAACCAUCCAAGUCAGCAGCCAUAAUAAAUCCCUGAGGGCUCACUUUCUAGGCACACGUAUAAUUGGGUCUCCUCCACACCCGCUCUGCACACGAAUGGCUUGUGGCUGAAGUAUGAAAAGAAGCUGCUGGUGCCAUGUGUUUCAGCGAACCGCGAGUCGUCCUCACUCUCCCGAGCCAGCAGCAGGGGGUGUGCAGUUUGUGAAUUUGACAUUCCAAAUUCAGAUGGGAUUGAAGAUGCCAAAUUAUUAUGAUUUUUUAAAAAUCCCUGAGGGCUCAAGGCAGGAUGUGAGCUUGGUUUGGGGCUUCAGUCUUUUCUCAGUCACGGUUAGCAUGGUCAUCUACAUACAAUAAUUUUCCAGGUCAGCUGUGAAAGACCAGGUUUACAGUACACAUAUGUGAUCCUGAUUAUUUUUAAACAAAAGAAUCACUGUAAAAAAUAAUAAUAAUAAAUAAAGGGGAAAAAAUAAUAACUAUUGAAAAGUAGGAUUACUCACACUAAUGAGACCGCUGACAUUCUUGGCACACUUUGUGAAGCCUCAAGCAUUACACAGUUUGGUUGAAGGUCAGAGCUGGUGGUGGAGAUCCUCAUCCAUCAGGUGAGCUUGGUAGCCAGACUCAUUUCAGCACAUUUCUGAAAACGACAUUUCACUCAAGUAGGUCGAUCUGAA